rnacentral:lncRNA from 1 species
UUUACUAAUUGUACAUACAAACUAUAUUAUAAAACAUUAGUUUUGUAUUAGUAGUUUGUUUUACAGAGCUAAAUUUAACAUAAUAGUUUAUAGUUACAUAGAUGCAAGGUAUGUACAAAAGAAAACCUAAAAAAAUUAUGGGACCACACACACAUACAAUUGUACACAUUUUGUUGAUUGGCGACACUAGGCGUCUAGCCGCAAUGGUGUCUAAGCUGAAAUCUGCGAGCCAUUUUGUCUGGCACAAAGGCGACAGCGACGGCGACCGGGAACCCUACAGACGGGCGACUCGACUGGCGUCUAAAGUUGUACGAGUUAGGAAAUACGACUCCCAG